GUUUGCUGUUUGGACAGGCCUGGCAGCUGUGGCGACUGAAUCUAAGAAGAAAGGCUGAUAAUGCUCUGGCUGGUUUCAUAAUAGGACUUUUCAAGGCACUGUCCCAUCCAUUAACUCAUUUGAAAUGAAAGGUAGGGUUUUCUUUUUUCCCCCCAUUAGGAAAGAUACUUACAUGUUUUAUUCAAAAUUCUUUUAAGCCACCACCAAAGAAGAGAAAGAAAUUAACAUAAUAACUCUCCGGGUGGUUCCCUGUUUACAAAGUAAGUUUAACUUUUACUUUGUUUUCCUUCAGAGCCCUAAAUUCAACUCCUACUUUAUUCCAUAUUUCCAUUUUCAGUCAUCCUUGAUGCCUGAAAUGAUUUAGUUGAUGCCAUAUUGAUUUCGUUCUUGUUUGCUUCCUCAAAAUGUUUCUCAUUUUUCUGUCCCCUUGGCUCAUUUCUAAGUGUGUUUUCUAAUGUCCAUAUCCUGCACAAUUGCCAGCAGCACCAUGACCUAGGGAGGACCCUCAUUAUGAACUGCAUUCUACAGGAAAAAAGACGCACGUCCCCUUCAAAUGAUGUGGCUUGCCCCAUGGAAAACAGAGUUGGUGUCUGAGUCAGGUUUGCUUCCCCAGAGCUCCAGGGCCAUUGCUAUUGUCCUCUUUCCUGCACGCUUCCUCAUUUGCAAAACAAUGUGAAUUCUGUUCUUGCCCUUAUAAUUAAAGGAAAAAUGAGGAUGAUCAAGAGUGGUUGCUUCAGGGACCUUCCACACUGCUAAGGCCACCUCUAUUUUUCCAGACUCCAGGUAUAUUUUAAAAUGAAGACAUGUCAAAAUAGGUUUCUGUUGUAGUUAAAAUGUUUACACCUAUUAGCAAUUAUAUUUGUAUGAGAGUUGAAGGCUCUUCCAACACUGUCAGUGUACUUCUGUGACAGUAUGUAUCUAAACUCAUUUGGAAAUAAACAAUAAUUGUCUAAUUUUGGCCCUUAAUUGAGGUCCUAGCUUAAUGCCCUCUUUUCUCAUAAAGGAAUGCCCUUACAUGAACAUUAGGACUUUAGAGGACAGCAGUGGUGGCAACAGUGGAGUUGACUGCAGCUGGGGCAAAGGUAGCAGGUUAAUACCAGCUAACACCUCCAGAGCAUUUGCCAUGUGCCAGGGACAAUGCUAAGUAUUUUAUGUGUGCUAACACUAUGCUUUCUUAGGCAGGUACUAUUAUUAUCUGCUUUUUUUAACAGAUGAAGAAACCGAGCCACACAGAGGUUAAAUAACUUGCCCAAGGGUGCACAACUACUAGUAGUAUUGAGUCUAUACGCUUAAGUAUUGUGCUAUUCCAUUUCUUACUGAAUACAAAGCAAAAAAACAUAAGGAUCAGAGGAGGAGUGUGAGUGUCCUCAUACUCACAGCAAAAGGAGGUCAGUGGGUGUGUGUGGUGGUGGGAGGGGACUUACAAUAUCAAUAAUGACACUAGGUGGGGGCUCAGUAGCUCAUGCCAUUUUGAUUAUCUACCAAUGUGUGGGUGUCCCCAGGCUGAAGGAAUUGGGUUAACAAGGUUUAUAUCUGCACUUACAUUCUUUCCCCAAAAAUGUGUCCAAAAUUGAAAGUGCCAUUUUUCAAUGACACAUAGAAUCUGGGCAGUAGCACAGGACCCUGUGUUCAGAAUGACCAGAUGCUUAGACGAAUGAUCUGUUGCCGCCAUCUUGAAAAUCUCAAUACUAUUUGAACAAAUCUCAAUAAUAUUUGAACAUUUUGCACUGGGCCCUGCAAAUUAUGUACCUGGUCCUGUGUGGAAUUCUGGGCAAUUUGUACACACUAGUAACUCCAAUCUGCCGGGGGAAACAAGGUUCUAUCUCCCUGUGAUUCCUGUGGAACUUAGACCUCGUACUGUUUGUCCUUACAAUAAAUCCCCAUUAAUGAGGGAAGCACGAUUGGUCUCC
rnacentral:lncRNA from 1 species